rnacentral:rRNA from 1 species
UACGAAGGGGGCUAGCGUUGUUCGGAAUCACUGGGCGUAAAGGGCGCGUAGGCGGCCGCUCAAGUCGGGGGUGAAAGCCUGUGGCUUAACCACAGAAUUGCCUUCGAUACUGUUUGGCUUGAGACCGGAAGAGGUGAGUGGAACUGCGAGUGUAGAGGUGAAAUUCGUAGAUAUUCGCAAGAACACCAGUGGCGAAGGCGGCUCACUGGUCCGGUUCUGACGCUGAGGCGCGAAAGCGUGGGGAUCAAACAGG